GGCGCUAUAGCCAAGUGGUUACGGCGAUUGAUUAGAAAUCAAUUCCACUUCGUGGGCGCAGGUUCGAGUCCUGCUGGCGUCG
rfam:Trametes pubescens strain FBCC735 TRAPTBscaffold_1689, whole genome shotgun sequence.